CUAGCGUUAUUCGGCAUUACUGGGCGUAAAGCGCACGUAGGCGGCUUUGGAAGUUAGAGGUGAAAGCCUGAAGCUCAACUUCAGAAUUGCCUUUAAGACUGCAUCGCUUGAAUCCAGGAGAGGUGAGUGGAAUUCCGAGUGUAGAGGUGAAAUUCGUAGAUAUUCGGAAGAACACCAGUGGCGAAGGCGGCUCACUGGACUGGUAUUGACGCUGAGGUGCGAAAGCGUGGGGAGCAAACAGG
rnacentral:rRNA from 1 species